UUACUUUAAUACUCUGCGAUUUAAAGUAUAUCAAUUUAGUACUAUAUGGUUUUAUUUUAUUUUUUCAUCAACUUUUCUGUUAACUUUUUGUUAAAUCAUAUAUAAAAAAAGUCAGAUACUCUAUCUGUAGUUUAUAGAAUAUUUAUUUUAGUACUUUUUAGUUUUAAUUUUAUCACUGAUUUAAUGAAAAAAAAAUAUUAGAGAGGAUAACAAAAAAAAAUUAAAAUUACAUAAUAGGAAAGU
rnacentral:lncRNA from 1 species